UGAACUACAGCUGUCAAUAUUCAAAAUAUUUCAUUGUCAUUUUUUUCAAAAUUUCUUGUGAACUAAAGUAUGACCAACGACGAUUUAAUUGCAAUUGGAAAAAUUGUUGCAAUAGUAAUUUUGAUUUGUGUUGGAAUUAAUCUGAUAAAGGCACAAUAAUACAAAUUAUUGAUAAAUGAUAGAAGAACUUUUCGAAGAGAUUAUUUGGCUCUGGUAGGAUAUUAAAUGCAUGAAGAAAUAAAAUGAAAUACUACUCUAUUUAUCUAACUAUGAAAUAAAAUAUAUUUAAACUCAAA